rnacentral:rRNA from 1 species
GACUCCUACGGGAGGCAGCAGUGGGGAAUCUUGGACAUGGGGGAAACCUUGACCCAGCGAUGCCGCGUGGGUGAAGAAGGCCUUCGGGUUGUAAAGCCCUUUAGGCUGGGAAGAAGGUUAUGAGGGGAAAUACUUGUAGCUUGACGGUACCAGCAGAAUAAGCACCGGCAAACUCUGUGCCAGCAGCCGCGGUAAUACAGAGGGUGCAAGCGUUGAUCGGAUUUACUGGGCGUAAAGGGUGCGUAGGCGGUGAUGUGAGUGUGAUGUGAAAGCCCUGGGCUUAACCUAGGAAGUGCAUUGCAAACGACAUCACUGGAGUAGGUGAGAGGGUGGCGGAAUUUCCGGUGUAGCGGUGAAAUGCGUAGAUAUCGGAAGGAACGUCGAUGGCGAAGGCAGCCACCUGGCAUCAUACUGACGCUGAGGCACGAAAGCGUGGGUAGCGAACAGGAUUAGAUACCCUGGUAGUCCACGCUGUAAACGAUGAGGACUAGAUGUUGGUAGAGCGAUCUAUUAGUGUCGAAGCUAACGCGAUAAGUCUUCCGCCUGGGAAGUACGGCCGCAAGGUUGAAACUCAAAGGAAUUGACGGGGGCCCGCACAAGAGAU